UUAUUCCCCCAAAUAGAUGUCAGAUCCAUCCUCGAAAGCUCGAACCAUUCUCUGUAUCCCAACCAUCUCCGAUCCAUCCUCUCCCACCGGCCAUUGUCACUGAUCCAUCUUCUGAUUUAUCGUUUCUCGUUUCUCGUUUCUCUUCAAAGGAUUCAGUCGUCUCUUCACUCGCCAGUCGCCGACUCCAAAAAUUUCUGAGGUAAUUUUUCUACCAAUUGGGCUCGGAUGGUAUAUAAACUGAGUUUAUUUUGAACUUUGGUCAAUGAAUUUAUCUCUACUUAUGUGGAUUUGUCUAUAUAUGGGUGUUUACUGUUUAGGGCUUUAUUUUUAUUUUUUAGUUGUGCUUGAUGAUUUUAUUUUGAUAUGAUAUCUUUUUCUUCGUUCCUUCGUUGCCAUUUUUUUCCCAGACCAAACUUUCAAUUUUCUCGGCUUCUUGUAGGCCUGGUAACAGUAGUGAUACUUAUAAAUUUGAAUUGAAGUGUAAGAUUAAUUGAUGAUGUGGUGCUGUAGCAAACUCAAUAACAAACGAACAGAAAAAGGAUUCAAAUUGAAACUUUGGAUCAAUAUUUUCUUGAGGUUUACUUAGCUCCAAUGCAUAUUAAAAGUAAUAGAUCAUUCUAGGCUUAUGCAGAGAAUUGCAUUAAUUUUAUAUACAUUGUUCUCUGGAAGGCACUCCUUCAGAUUAUGAAGUGAAUAGACCCAUUACUAUCAACUUUAUUAGGAGAACUAUGAGUAAGAAAGUGCAUUAUUUUCAAUGCUACCCCCCUUGUUUUAUAAAUCCAAUGAGCUGGCGAAGGGUUUGUUUGGUUAGUAGCGUUUGCGGUAUUUAGAGUCCAAACACACAACAUCAUUUUUGGUCCGGUGCAUUUGAGUAUUAAACAACGCGUUUGUAAGUUAAAUAAGGUGUUUGUAGAUUAACAAUAUUUUUAAGUGUGUUUGGACUUUCAAACUCUCUAAACACACUAAACAUUUCAAACAUCGUUUAACUAAACCCUCUAAACACACUAAAUGUUCCAAACAUCGUGUAACUAAACAUACGCUAACAUUGGUCUUGUGACUUGCAAUGCUGCAGUAUUAUUCUUUUUCUCCUAUUUUUACCUAAUAAUAAUUCUACCUUUCAUAUGCUUCUUGGAUAAAAUGAUACUGGAAGGCAAUAUGUUUAGUUUUUCAUGGCUCGUUAGAUUAUUUUUUUUUUAACAUUUUUUUUCUCUGGCGUAUCAAUGUUUGUUGCUUAAAAGAAAUAUCCAUUUAUUUUGCUUCUUACCUACAUCUUUAAGCAAUGUCCUUAAUCACAUAGCUUGAUAAAUUGCCUCAACAUAUUUAAUUGAACAUAGGUAUUGUGCAGGUACCUUUUGUUCCUUCUUUAUAAUCAGAAGUGCUCUUUAUGUCAUCAACAAUUUCAGCCCAAUCACUAUUGGAAUAAGCAAUUAAAUCUUAAGUUUCUACUAAUUUAGAGUACAUGAUCUCAUAAUCAAGUGUCCCUAGUAUUUCAACUUUCUUUAGCAACUCUACAGUGGACAAUUUCUUUUUGUUUCUUUUUGUCCCAAAAAAAUGGUUAUGUUUCUUUUUGUGAUGUGUGCUUUUAUGUGACACUUUAUGAUUAUCUAUGCUUAUUAUUUGUUUUUAUAGAUGGCUGAUUUAUCCACCUCUAAAAUAAGGACUGAAUUUGAAGAGCAAAAGGGAGUUGUGAGUGAAUUACAUGAGCGACUUGGGGAUGUAGAAUAUCAAAUUAAUGAGGGAGAAAAGUUGAGGAAGAUUAACAUGCGUCCAAAUUGAACUUGAAAAUCCACGGUUAAAAUUUUUUGCUCCCUUCAAGUUACAUGUGAUGUCCCUUUCAUCCACGAGGUUUCAAUUUCCAAAGACAUAUCGCGUGUAAACUUGAACAGCAGAAAAGUUAUUUUAUCAAAAUUUAGUAAUCUUUAGUUUCAUUGUCAUCAAUGAAGUACUUAAAAUUGUCCAGUUUUGCAUAAUAAUGGCAUUUUAUAAGCAAUUUUUUUACACUGUUAACAACUUUCAAUUACUUGUUGUUCACUGGGUCAUUAUUCUGUACUAAAGUAAUUAUGGAGUACUGUAUUCAUUUGAGGAUUCAGGCCAGAUAUCCAGCCUAACUUUGUUUUGAGUUUUCAAUUUUAUUUCAAGGCUAGACGUCCAAGUUUGUGUAACCUGCCGUUCCAUUCAGAAUUGAAAUGAUUUUCUAAAUUUGGUCAAAAUUUCCUUUGAAGUAUUACUUCUAAAUUACUUAACACAUAUGUAAUUGCAUGAUGCACUUACUCCUAGUCAAGCAGAUUGUGAAGUUCAGUUCAGAUAUUUCCUUUUUGGUGCUUGUUUUUCUUCCAAUACUAACGGUGCACAAGCCUCUCAUGUUUGUAACAUUUGUUAAAUGUAAAAAUUUUGGAAGAUCGUGAGAUGUAACGAAAAUGAGCCUCUUAAAAAAGGAGUUUGAUCAUAUUUUGUAAAAUUAUGUGAAAAAUAUUCUUGUUGUUGUGCUGGAAAUAUGUUGUAUUUAUUUAGCAAAAAAAAUGUAGUAUUUAACUCUCUUGUGUGAACAAUAAUACAAUAUCCUUUCUAUACAAAUUUUUAUGUCUUGUUUUUUUUGCAACUCAUGUCAAAUUUACGUCAUUAUUACAGUACUUCUCCAACAUCUAGUAUUCAUUAUGGUGUGUCCCUAACAUCAUCUUUAUAUUUAAGGAAGUGAAGUUGGAUAUUUCCUCCUCAACGUUAAGGAGCUGCUAAUCUUGAACCAGCUCUAAAUAAGGCAAUCUUUUCUUAAACUGCAUCACUUUCAGUUGCUUUAUUCUCUCAAUGCUAUGAGACAGAUUAUUUCUUACUUUUCAGUUUUUCCUAAAAUUAUAUUUAUACAACCCAUACAUACCAUGCUGUUUCUAACACUAAAAAAAAACAUUCGUCUCAAACUCAACUUCAUAGUGGCUUUGCUUCCAAAAAAGCCACAAAUUAUAAUUAAAUCUUCGCAGCUUUCCUUUUUAUUCCCUUCUCACUUCUUAUCAUCAUCUGCUGUGUGAUGCUCCCAAAAUAGGUAUACAUCACCCAUCUUGGGUCGCCAAAUACAUGGUAUUGAAUACAAAUACAAACUUAAUUAUACAACAUGAGCUGAGAGUUUUUACACGAAUAUUGUCAUCUAGACAAUAUCCAAACUCAAAUAGAGUCCUCAUUAUAUAUAUUGGCACACUAUUUUAUAGAAUAGUGAGGACUACUAUAACACCAUCUCGGGCCAUCACUCCGUUCCUCGACUAGUUCCGGCUACGUUCUCAUUUCCUGAAGAGAACAAUGGAAGUAAAAGGGUGAGCUCAACUAGCCCAGUAAGAAAUAUUAUGACUAAGAUAAUGCAGAAUAAGUUAUCAUUAGCCUUCAACAAUGUUAAACUAAUAGAAUAUAAUAGACAACAAGUUUAACUGCAGCGGAACAAGCAAUCCAUUAGAAGAGUCAAGUAGAGCAUGAUAUCUACUAUCUUCUAUGAUUUAAAAAGUUUAUCAUUAUCUUUAUUGCUGGGACUUAGCUUAAUAAAUAGAUCACAUCAUCGAAUCAUCCCUGCACUACGGGCCAAGGAUAUUCAUUAGUAUCACGCCCACAAAUUAUUCUUGCACUACGGGCCAAGAAUUAUUCGUGUAAUCAUUAAUGGUCAUGACUAUACCGAAUUAUUCCUGGUCAUAAUCAUACCAAUCAAUAGUCCAUCUAUGCACGUAAGUCAAAGAUGACUUUCAUCAUAAUAUAAGCAUGAGGAUGAUGACAAUGAUAUAAGAAUUCAAUUAAAAGAAAGCAAAGGAUAAAUUUUUAAAUAUUUAUAAUUUAAUUUAUCCAAAAUUUAAUAAUGUCCAAAUUUUUAACAUGAUACUGCUUUGUAGAGUAAAAUUCAAGAAUAAUAUCCUUGUAUCAAAAAUAAUUUGGACAGAAAAGAAAUAAAUUUUUCAGUGAAUAGUACUUCGGGAAUAGUACCCCGUGAAUAGUAACCCGACAUGAAAAGUGCCCCAAAUAUCCGACUAAACAAUAUUUGAGUGAAUAGUAAUCGGGUGAAUAGUAACCCGUGAAUAGUAAUUCGUGAAUAGUACCCCGACAUGAAAAGUGCCCCGAAUACCCGAGUGAAUAAUAUUAUAGUGAAUAGUAAUCGGGUGAAUAGUAAUCCGUGAAUAGUACCUUAUGAAUAGUACUUCGGGUGAAAAUAUUGAUAUUUAAUACGAAAGUUCAUAUCAAUAUCCCAAUAAAAUUAUACUGGAUGAAGCGCAAAAAUCAAGGAUAUUCCACUAAUUUCAAGGAUUAUAGAAGCAAUACUUACCAUAGUAAGUUUAGAUUUAAGAAUAUGAAAAGAAUUAACAUACGAAAACUACAAAUGGAUUUUCUCCUGUCAUACGGUACGUAAUCCGCGUAGACAGGUUAUUCCGACAUACUAAAGGAUGAAUACGAAAAAUAGUAUUCCUUAUUAAUACGAAAUAAAUAAUACCCCUUACCUUAGUAGAAAGUUGGAUACUGCUAAAGUGAAGUAGUAGAAUACUCUUCUUCUUGCUCUUUAUAGUUUCUCUAUAGUGUCUCUUGUGAAUCUCAGUGAAUUGGUGAGAAUGAAAGAAGAAUUAAGCUUCUAUUUAUAGGAGAAUGGACUAAAUAGUAACUAAUUCAUGAACGGUCCAGAUUGAUUCACUAUUAGAACGGACGGUCCAUAUUGAUUACUAUUAAAAUCACAACCGACGGUCCAGAUUGAUUUACUUUUAAAACCACCACCGACGGUCCAGAUUGAUUUACUUUUAAAACCACCAUCAAUGGUCCAGAUUUAUUUACUAUUAAAACCACCACCAAUGGUCCAUAUUGAUUUAACUUAUUACACUUUGGUACCCCUAAAGUUUUCCAAGUUUGCAUUAUUUUCCUCUAACUUUUGUAAUUCACUCAUCUUCAAUAAACACAUUCUUAAUACUUCGAUAAUUAUUCAUCAUUAAUAUUAUAACUCAUAAUAUUUAACAGUCAGAUCGUUCCCAAGAAAGAGGGGGCUUUCCAAUAAGGAUUUCUCCCUAUUGACGCGCAAUUAGGUGACCAAACCUCUUCUCGACAGAACUUUCUAGACAUUGUCAUUAUUGCAAAUAAUAAUAUGAAUAACUUUGUUGUCACAAUUAUUGAUUUAAUAAUAUAAAAUAUUAUGCAGAUGAUAAUAUGACAAUAAUUAAAUCAAAUAACGUGAAAUAUUAUGCAACAAUUACUGUAGCAAUAAUUGAGUAUAAAUGAGUGCUUCUCACGUAAGCAUCAAUAAUCAAUACCAUGUGCUACUAUGCAACCACGCGUAUUACUGUACUUUUACCACCGGGUAGUUCAACAGUUUAACGGUAAAACUUUCGUUAUUUUUAUAAAAAGAUAUUUUUGUCGUUUUCUAACUACGACAAUACUUUUGUUGUGGGGUCUACCAAUGAUUGUACCGUCGUACGAAUAUUUUCUGUUAAAAUGAAUAUUCCUCGACCAAUCGAAUAUUCACUAACACAACGAAUAUUUUAUAUCAACUUGCUUACUUUGCAAAAUUUUUCAAAUAUUAUCCACAACUAUAACAUUAUAUCAUAUCCACACCAUAAUAUUCAAAAAUAUAUUUCGAGAAAAAUUAUUUUUUAUUCGAAAAAAUUGGGGUCUUACAUGCUGAACAUAAGAACUUCUCUAAAAUAAUGCAAAUAUCACCAAUCUGCAAAUCACCAGACUAUUGUUUAAUCUAUUGUAAAUCUCCAGACUAUUGUUUAAUCUAUUGGAUUUCAUAUUAUGAAAUCUGCUUUUCUAGACGGUUUGGAAGACCAUGGUUGUUGAAUGUGACUGAAUUCUGACUUGAGGUCAACAUAUAAUAAUAAUCUACAAGUCUUGUAACAGAAAAUAUGUUUACCACUAUGCUUACUGAAAUUAAUUCAUGAAAUGGCCGAUUAAGAUUCCAAUUUUAUCUUGUAACAGAGCAAUCAUAUAGUCGCACUGAAGGUUCUUUUUCUAUUUGGAUUUGUAGCAAAUGUUAUUGUGAUUGCCUAUUUGUCUUUUUCUUCUUAUGAGCAAUACGAUGUACAUUAGUACCACAUAACAACUCUAUUGUCUUUGUGUAUUGAUUUUGGCACUAAGUGCCUCUGGUGACCUAUUUGCUUCAUUUUCCUGACUUGCUAUUAUUUUUAAAUAUGUGCAAAGACUGCUUCUACGACUUGCCUUACAAUACUGGGUAUCAAAUUUUCGUGCUACGUUUACGGAAGAUAAGGGACGAAAUUUUGAAGUGUACUCUCUCUAUAUAUGUAGAUAUAUACUUUGAUUGAAGAACUGUGGUAGCUUUAGAUGGUUAAUUGUAAAGAUAAUGAAUGAAUAUGUAGUGGAUGAUUUUAUUAAGUUAAUAGUAUUUUAGUUUUUUGUAUUUUUGCCAUUAUUUGUUAUGGGGACAUUGAGAUAGCCAGGUACACAAAAAGAAUGUUAAAUUUUGAUUUGGCAACAAUAUAAUUCGUUACCAAAGCAUUGAACAAGUUUACAUUUAGAAACAAACUUUCGUUGCUAAUGGCAUUAAAAAUUUUAUAUUUGGCAACGAAAAAUUAACCUAAUAACAACGGAGAGGAUAUUGUUGCUAAUAUUAAAAUAAAAGGUAACAUUUUUUAUCGUUGCAAAUCAUAUUAAUUUUUGUUGCACAUAUAAAGAAACGACAACAUAUAAUGUCGUUGUUAAUUGACGACUUUCGUCGCUAUUGAAAAAUAACCAACAACAAACAUUUUCGUUGCUGAUUCAGCAUAAUGUUUUUGCCAAAUAAUAUAAUCAGCAACGAAAAUAGUUGUCAAAAAUUUACAUUCUGCAACAAAAGUAAGCUUAGGCAACAAUUUUCAUAAUUUACUGCAACGAAAAAUGUCGUUGCAAAAUGGUGUCAAUUGCAAUGAAAAUGCAUGGUCGUUGCAAAAAAAAAAAGAGUUCAUUUCAUUGCCAAUUAGCAGGCUUUUGCAAUGAAAUGGGCUUUUUAGCAACGCAAUUUUAAUUAUUCUGCAACAAUACAUUUUGUUGCUAAAGGAUCGAUGUCUCUGUACGAAAGCCAAAUUUUAUUGCAAAAUAUAUUACUUUUGGCAACGAAAAAAAUACUUUCGUUGCGGAACAAUUAACAAUGCUCAUUGCGCAACCAAAGACGCAACGACAGUAAAGUCGUUGCCAAAACCCUUUUGCAACGAAAAUUGGCACCUUUAGCAACGAAAAUCGGUUGUUGCUGAAGUCCCAUUUUUUGUAGUGCCAGCAGUACAAACUGGCGCAGCUGCGCCAGUGGUCAGUUGGAGAAAACUAAUUUUUCCACUUUGAAAAUUAAAUGGAACAAUUAUGUGAUAUGUGUGACAUUGAUAAACCAUGAAACAAAGCACGUUAUGUUCGACGAAGGAAUUAUUAAGUAAGCCAUUAAUUAAUAUUAAUUGAUUGUGGUGGAAUAUGGAUUACUUGGUAAUUAACUAAUAAUAUGUGAUUUCUAUUAUUUGCAAUAUGUCUUUAAAUAUAACAAGAAUUAUAUAGAUAAUUGAUGGUUAUGGAGAUCUAUAAAUACAUUAAUCAAGGAAGUAGAUGAUUUAUUAUUUGACAUAAAUAAGUAAGUUAUUAAUAUAAUAAUAUUAUAUUAACGGCUAUGUGCAUGUGAUCAAAUAAUACAACUAUACUAUAUAGUGUAGUGUGACAUUUGUGUGACUAUAUAUUAAGUUUUAUGAAACUAUAUUAUAUUAAGUGGUAAUUAAUCAAGGGAAGGAAUAAAUUUAUUUAUUUAACAUAAAUAAAUAAGUUAUUAAUAUAAUAAGGUUAUAAUAUGGUUAUAUGAGUGGUAGGGAUAAUUAUGGAACUAUUCGGACAAUAAUAUGUGACUGCAUUAUUUUAUUACAUGUAAUUGAUGUACAUGAACUAUAUGAUAUGAGUAUAUAAAUAACACUAAUUUCUCCUAAUAUGGUAACAUUUGGACAUUAAAACCAUUUUUGGUUAACCAAGUAACUAAAUGAAAUGGAGCUAAGUUAUUGCUGAGACUUCAUUUUGUCCCAUAAUUAGUGUCACCAAGUACAAUGAAUAGUAGCUCAAAGCUAAAUUAUGUAUUCUUCCAAAAGGCUGGAGUUAAGUGAUAAUGGCUGAGCUUGAGGGUGGUUGGCCAACCGUUGAGUAACCAUUAUUUCAUUGCAUUGCACCAUGAGUUCAAGUUUUGUGUAAUUCCAAUGUCCAGUCCAAAACUCUUCUAUAAAUAGCAGUCAUGUUGAUCAAUUGGUGUUGCUUGGAGUUGUCUGAUAUUUGCUAAGUAAGAGUUCAAAGCAUACAAGCAUUCUUAGAGCUUAAGAGUUCAUUGGAGCAAGUUCCUUUCACAUUUGCAGAGGUAUAACUCCUCUUCCUUGCUUUUAUUUUCAGUUUCUGUAAACAGAGUUCUUGAACUCUUAAAAUUCAAAUUCUUGAAUUCAUGGAAUUGGAUGUUAAUAAAGUUGGGUAUUGGUUAUAAAGUUGUUAUAUGGCCAUAUAAGUAUGUUUGAACUGAUACAUGAUUGUUUGGAAUCGAAUUGGUGAAUAAUUUUUGAGGUUGGGCUAACUUUCUGCCGAAGCAGACUGCUUCUGCACCUGAAACUGGCACGGCGCAGCUGCGCCAUAAUUGUACUGAGGCGCAGCGCAGCUGCGCCGGUCUCUGGUUUUAGUUGAAGCUUCUGUUUUAUAACCAGCUAAAUGUUAGUCUAUUGUUAUGACAUGUAAUAGCAUGCAAAUAUGGUAAGGGGCAUAUAUAAGUAUAUUGACUUGAUGUGAGCAUGUGUUAAUAGAUUAGCAUUCAUGAAUAAUGAGAGUAUGUAGUUGAAAUGAAAUUAGAACUUUGAAAACAAACUAUGUUAGAGAUCAUGUUCUGCAAAUUGUGAACCUAGUAAGCUAUACAUGACUGAUUUUACACAUAGAUGAGCAUGUUAUAGUAUACAUAGUUCCUUUGAGCAUGACCAAACUUAUUAAGCCUUGUGUUAGAAAUGUUUUCAAGAAAAAGCUUAGCCUAGUGAGCUAACGUGCAUGAUUACUUCAUAGUUUAUAUUCUGACUUUGCAAGCGUGUUAGUAUGACUUAGAAAUGCAUGAAUAAACCUUUAGCUUGUGUUUAUAUGAUUAGCAAGGAAACAUGAAUAUGUUGAACAAAUUAGUACACUUUACAAAUGAAAAUAUGACCUUUGAAUAUGAAUAUUGUCAAAACUACCUUGAGGGUUAGAAACUGAUAAUUGUGAUCAUGUUUGAUGAUGCUCUUAGACUCACUCAUGUAGCAUAAACAUAUAUACACCAUGCUUGUGUAUCAUAUUUCAAAUAAAGCAUGAACGAAGCAUAUUUUCAACUAAAGCGGUGUUAGUUUCAUAUAUGCGUUAUGAAUACUCACAAGCAUGCCUAAUAUGAGCUUUAUAACUAUCUUGUAUGUUUAGAGAGCAAGCAUGAUAGACUUUAUGGUUUCAUGACCUUGAAUGGCCUUGAAUUGUUGAAAUGAUCGAACUUAGAACCAUGUUAUAAAAGAAGGAACCUAGAUUGCUCUAAGAAGCAUGUGAAAGCCUUUAACAUGACAAAAUAUGAUUGUGUAUUCAAGCCGAACAAAAACCACAAGGCAGUAGCUAAGUCUUGGCUUGGCCAGAGGACGGCGCAGCUGCGCCGGUCCUAGGCUUAGCCAUGGCGCAACUGUGCCAGUCUGAAAUCCCAGAUAGUGAGUUCUGAUUUUGGGAUAACUAAUUUGUGUGAUGCCUAUAUUACUAAACAAUAGUUAGAACCUACUGAUACACGUAUAUAUGUGAUGAUUAAGUGAGAUGAUGGAAUUUGUCUCGAAAUAGGAAGGUCCAUGGAUAAAAUGACUUAACCUUAUGAUUUCUUAGUUUACUUAUGAAAUAACUAGGUAUUUGAUUCAUGAUGAAUCUAUAAUCUGAUUUUAUACCAUAUGUGCAUACUUGAAUCAUGUCAAGCUUGAUUAAUGACUGUGUUAGCUAAUGAACAUCUUGAACAUAUAAUGCGCUAUAAAUAGGAUUCGAAAGUGUUGAUUUCUUAACGUGGAUAAACUACGCUUAAGGCAAGUUUCAUAAACUUACUCCAAUUAUUAUUGAGCAAGUAUCCGGACCCUACUUGUAAGACCCCAAAUUUUUAUAAAUGAAAUUUAUUUUCCUCUAUUUAUUAUUUUGAAAUAGUAAGGGUUGAUUUGAUUAAUGUGGAUAGUUAUGGGUAAAAUACGCAAAUAUUUCGAAUAAGCAAGUGGUUAUAAAAUAUUCAUUAUUGUCGGGGAAUAUUCGUUUGGUCGUGGAAUAUUCGUACUGUCGGGGAAUAUUCGUACGACGGCGCAGUCUUUUGUGGGCCCCAUAACGGAAAGCGAUUGGAUGAAGAAAACGACAAAUAUAAGUUGUUUAUAAAUAACGGCGUAGUUGUUACCGUUAAUACUGUUGGAAUACCCGGUGGUUAAAACACACUAAUACGCGUUGUUGAACAGUAGCACACGGUAUUGCACCAAUUAUUGAUUCUUACGUAAGAAGGCACUACUCAAUAAUUGUUACAGUAAUUACUGUUCAGUAUUUUAUUUUAUUGAUUCAAUAAUUGCUGCAUUGAUAUUUUAUAUUACUGUUGUUUCAAUAAAUUGUCAUUACACAGUAUUUUCCAUUAUCGGAGCAAUAAUUCAUAUUAUCUGAAUAAUAUUAUUGGAUAACAUUAUUGGCAAUGUCUAGAAAGUUCUGUCUAAGGAGAGGUUUGGUCACCUAAUUGCGCGCCAGUAAGGAGAGAUCCUUAUUGGAAAGCCCCCUCUUUCCUGGGAACGGCCUGGUUGCCAGUACUGUGAUUCUGUAAUAUUAUUUGUGAAUAAUUAAUUAUUGAUUUAUAUGAUGAGGAAAAUAUUGAUUUUAUGUGGAUAUAGAUGGAGAAAAUUUUUAAUGUGACAAUUGUUGAAAAUUAAUAUUUUAUCUUUUUCUGAUAAAAUAAUUCAUUUAAAUAUAUUAUUUUAAUAAUAUAUUAACGGUGAUAUUUUUAUAAUGAAUGUGGGAUAUAUGAGUAUAUGAGGAGGAAGAGUAUUUUUGUGGCAUUAAAUGUUUAACACAUAUUUUGUGUGUUGGUGGACACAAUUAUUGACCGAAAUUUGAUUAUAGCCUGUAAAAUCGCCCGUUUGUGGAUUUCGGUCAAUUUCUGUUUGGAAUUUGGAAAAACUUUCUUCUGCAAAGUUGUAGAGAAUUGAAUUUCCUAUAAAAAUUCGCGAGAUUCGAAUUUUCUGAUAAAAGGGCUAUUUAUUAUGAAUUAUUGAAGUUCCGAAGUUCCGAAAUAAUUGAUUUUUGGAAGUUUAAAAUAUUUUUAAUUACAAAAACGUUUUUUUCAUUUUUGAAACUCAUUUAACAUGUGAUUAGGAGGCUGAAUUCAGAUUGUUAGUGUGCGUAUGAAGUUGUGGAAAAAUUAUAAUAUUAAUUUAUUAAAUUUUCUACUUUGGUGUUCUAAGCAUUUUCCUAUAAAUAGGGUGCUUAGGUUAGAAUUGAAAAUCACACCAGAAACUGAAGUUUUCUCUCUCUAUAUUAUCGAGCGUAUUCUUGUGAGUAUUUUGAGUAUACUUUGAGUAUUGCUAUACGGUGCAAGUUCAAGUCAUAGCCUAUAUCCGGUGUUUCAACUAGAAGUACUGUCUUUCGAGGUAAGGGAUGUUAUUUUAUUCGAAAAUGAUAUUAUUUCUUCAAUAUCAUUAUGCCGAAAUAUUGGUUGGAAAUUUUUAUCAAAUUUGGAACUUUUUCAUGUCGGGGUUACUAUUCAUGAGUUACUAUUCACGAGUUACUAUUCAUGAGUUACUAUUCACGAGUUACUAUUCACGAGUACUAUUCACGAAGCGUGAAGAUGUUUUUUGUGAAAUUUCUAUCUUUUGGUGUCGGAGUUACUAUUCACGUAUACGGCACUAUUCACGUAUACGGCACUAUUCACGAAUACGGCACUAUUCACCGAAAAAUGAAAUUUCUUCUUUUUGUCCAAAAUAUCUAUUAUGGAUACUAGCUUUGAUUGUAUCCAUGUUUUGAUCAUUCUUGAAUUUUACACCACUAUGAUUAUUUUUGAGGUAUUUUUGGACGUGGAUAAAACAAAGUACGAAUCCUUAAUCCUUAAUCCUUGUCAUUUUGUUUCACUGGAUUCGUUUCUUUAAAAAAAAUUUUUCAUCAUCCUCAGUCUUAAAUGAUGAUAUUAUUGAAUAUCUUUGGCCUGUAGUGCAAAGAUGAAUGAUUUCUGAUGAAUAUCUUUGGCCCGUAGUGCAAAGAUGAACAGGUGUUUAGAUGAACAUGACCAACUGAUGAAUAUCUUUGGCCUGUAGUGCAAAGAUGAAUAUUUGAUUCCAGAUAUAUAUUGAUUGAUGUUACAGGGAUAAAAGAUAGACGAUGAACUUUUAAAUUCAUACAUAGAAGAUAGUAGUUUGCAUUCUCUACUUAACUCUUCUAAUGAAUUAUUAUUUCCGCUGCGAAUAUUGAUUUAAAACUUGUUGUCUAUUGUAUUCUAUUAGAUUUUUCCCUGUUGAAGACUAACGAUAAUUUGUUGUAUAUUAUCUUAGUCAUAAUAUUCUUUACUGGGCUAGUUGAGCUCACCCUUUUCCUUUUUGUUCCAUUUUUCUUCUCAGGAGGCGAGAAUAUAGCGAGUACGAGUCGGGGUAUGGAAUGAAGGUUCUAGAGAGAGUUGUUUAGUAGUCCUCACCAUUUUUGUAAAAUAAUGUAUCAAUAAAUGUGAUGAGGAUUUAUUUGAGUAUAGAUAUUGUCUAGAAGAUAAUAUUUGUAUUCAAACUCACAGUUUUACUGUUGUAAUAAUAAAGUUGUAGUUGUUUCUGUACCGUGUAUUGACAACUCAGAAUGGGUGAUGUAUACCUAUUUUGGGGGUGUCACACUACUCUUAUUGUGUAAGUAUCUUUGCAUUACUUUAUUCAACGAAUACCGUACGAGUAUCUAAACCUUAUCUCUUUGAAUGUAAGUUAUUCUAUUUAUUCGUUCAAUUGAACAAGUAUGUUUAAACUCUUGUGAAAACUAUUAUUCAUGUUCAACUUGGUAUUGUUCUUGAAUAUUGUGAAAGAGUCGAUGCCAAUUGAUUCGGCUAGACUAUAUGCAUGUUUAUAAAACUGUCCAAACCAAUUGAUUGGUGCGGAAAUCUUGAAAACUGAGUUGGACAACCCUUAUGGUAAGGGGAGUGUAUGUUGUUGGAAACCUCAACACAUGAGUGGUUUAUUAUUGUGGUGUUAUGCAUAACGUGGAGUAUUGUAGACUGAUCAUCUAUAGUACUUGAUUCUUUUAGGUUAUCAGUUUAAUAUUGGAAACUCUAGUAGAUGUUCAAUAGUCCUUAGUGACUACUCAGUAUAAAUUGUUUAUCCAGUUGGAUACAUUGAUAGUCGUUGAAUUCAUAUAUAUCUGUUGAUCUAUAUUGAAUUAUCAUUCUUAUUCCAAGAAUUAUUGAUAUUCGUUAUUCAUGAUAUUAUUCUAAAACUUGAACUAUCUUAGAGAUGAUACUUCGAUAUUUUAAACCCGUGUUGUAAAACUCUUUACCCUUGUUGUAUAUUACUUGCUAGGCAAUUUGUGCUCAUCCUUGCUUAUUUAAAACCUAUCAGUUAAGGAGGAACAUGGAGGUGUCUCUGGAACAGACAAGGGAAAGGGCAAGGCUACAGACUAGCUUGUCCCUUUAUGUUUAAAAUCUAUUACGUUGUAUUAAGACUAUGUUUAAGCUUAAGUAGGGUUAUGUAAUAAGUUUUUAUUCAAUAUUAUUAUGUAAUCUAUUAAGCACUGUAGGUUGCGAGACUUGGGGGAAUAAUUAUAAUAAAUCAUUGUAUAUUAUUAUAAAGUAGAGUUUCCGUUGUGUAUGUGUGAUUUUAGUUAUGAUGAUAAUACUUUGAGCACGUGAUGAACUGAAUUCGAGUGACCAAGUGAAGGUCCGAAUUUGGGAGAGUCACAGGUUGGUAUCAGAGCUAUAGUUAUAAACCAUAGGAGCGAGUGUCUUUAGAUUAUAACUUAAGAAAAAUUAGAAGUUAGGAAGGAGAUAAAACUCAUGUAGAGUUUUCCCUGAGAGAUUUAGUGUGUUAUGAAAUGUAACUUCAUUUUAUACAAUGAACUUAUAUUUAUUUAACAUUCUGAUGGAGCUGUUGUUUGUCUUGUGUUAUGUUGGUGAUUGUAGGAUGACUGACAUGGGAGGACCUAGCCGAGUAGUAGAGGAGGAGCCGCGUGAUAUCCAUGUAGUCUUUGAGACACCCUUGAUAGUAGAGCCUAUUUCAGUAGUGGCCCCUAUUGAUGAUGAUGAGGAGGAGGAGGUGGAGUCUGACCGUGAAGAGGAGCCUAUGGAGGAGGAGCCCGAGCCUAUGGAGGACUCCGAUGAGGCUAUUUUUGAGUAUCGGAUGUUAGGAGAGUAUGAGGAGCAGAUAUUAGAGUUGGGAUGUAGAGUAGAGGAGCUAGAGGCUGAGGCUAAGGAGAGGGAGUAUGAGUUCCAAAAAUUGAGGGACGAGGACCAUCAGAGAAAAUUGGUGAUGCUGGACAUGGAAGUUGAAAUUGCUCACCGUAAGGAGGUAGGGAUCCAGAUGGGAGCUUUGUUUCACCAAGCGGUGGCGAGGAAUGUUGAGAUGGAAGGAAAGCUAGAGGAAUUAGAACAGAAGGGUUUGAGUGAGAGGAAGGAGAAAGAGGCUCUCCGAACUCAGUUAGACAUGGAGGUGAUGGAUAGGAUUCACUUCGAGGAGAAGUGGGAGGAAACCAAUGAUAGGGUGGAUGAUCUAGAGGAUGAGGUGCGGUGCAAGAGGAGGAAGAUGAACAAGAUGGGAUAUGCUCUAUGCACGGACAUGGAGAGAUUGAUCGAUGGGGUAAAUCAUUACCCAUCUGAGCAAGGACAGACCCGACAUACCAUAAGUCGGGAUAUGGUGGUGCACAUUACGCAGAAGGAAUAUCAGAGCGCUGUGGAGCGUGGGAUGUUAGAUUGAGUCUAGAGGGAAAAGAUCAGUAGUGUAGUGGUUUUAAUUAUGUGUUGUUAAUAUGUUAUUGUAAUCUCAGUCUUUUGUGUAAGACGUGAGGUAGUAGUAAAACCCCAACUUUUGAAAAAUGUUAAGAGGGGUAGUAAGCUAGUGUUGUCCCCAUCUUUUGUGAUAUUAGGGGAUAUGUGAUAUCAUUUAUAUCAUUAUGCUAGAAAAGAACAUGUAAUGUAACCAUUUGGCAUAUGAAUAUAAAUGAUCUUAUUUCAGAAACGUGUUAUAAACUUGUAGUUCUUUUCUAUUGAGAAAUGUCUAAGUAUUAUAAUUAGAUAAUAAAAUGAAAAUUUUGUGAUGCAGAAAAUGCCGUCCAGACGUAAAAUAACUGUCACAUAAGAGUCAGUUAAUGAUGAGAGAGGACCAGUAGAUCCGAUACAGGGAUUGGUAGAUUUAUUGGGAGAAGCUCUGAGGGGAAAAAACGAAACCGUACCACCCAUUCCCCAAGUUGUCCCAGUAACAACCUUCAAAGACUUUAAGAGUGUAGGACCCCCAGAGUUCGCAGGAACUAUUGACCUGAUAGUUGUGCAAACUUGGAUCAAGGAGAUCGAGAAGGCCUUCACUAUAGCUCACGUGGGUGAAGACCAGAAGACAGUAUUUUCCAUAUACAUGAUGAGGGGCGAAGCAAACUAUUGGUGGGAAACUAACCAGCAGAGAGCGGGGGAAGGAACGAUAACGUGGGAGAGGUUCACUACGUUGUUCUUCGAGAACUAUUUCCCGAAAAGUAUGAAGAGUGGGAUGGAAGUGAAGUUCCUAGAGUUGAAACAAGGUGAUAUGACGGUGACGCAAUACGCAGCUAAGUUCAAUGAGCUAGCGCGAUUUGCGGAACACCAAGUUAUGGAUGAGGAAAGGAAGGCGAGAUGCUUCAAGCAAGGGUUGAAGCCGUGGUUGUAUAAUAAGGUAUCAGUCUUCCAGAUUGAUUCCUUUACGACCUUGUUAGAGAAGGCAAUCAUUGCGGAAGGUGGCAGUGAGGCCUUAAGUUUAUACCAUAAGGAGAAGAAGAACAAAAACACCGGUAGUGAGCAUCGUGGAUGAAGUAGCAGCGGAGGAAGUAAUUUUGGGAAGAGGAAAUGGGAAAACAACAACCACAAUAACAACAUAAACAAUAACCAAGGUGGGAGUCACCAGGGAAACUUCAAAAAGAGGACCGAAGCUUGCAAUAAAUGUGGAAGAAGUCAUCAGCGAGAAUGCUGGAAGAGGAAAAACACUUCCUAUAACUGCGGCCAAGAGGGGCACAUUUCGUCAAAUUGCCCAAAGCCGAAGAAGAUCAGAGGAUGUUUUGCUUGUGGAUUAACAGAGCACCAGAUAAAGGAUUGCCCAAAGAAAGGAAGCGGUGGAGCUGGCGGAAGCCAGGGAGGAGGAAGUAAGUUGAUGAUUGGUGGACCUGCGCAACCCAACUGAUCGACCGCUCGAACCUUUAAUAUGACCGUCUAGGACACAGUAGCUGCGAAGGACGUGGUGUCAGGUAUAAUCCUAAUCAAUAAUAUAAAUGCUUAUGUAUUAUUUGAUUCGAGUGCCACCUGUUCGUUUGUAUCCGAAGAAUUUGCUAAUAAACUUAGUACAGCCCGAGAACGUUUAGAAGAUCCUUUGAACAUAGAAGUUGCGAAUAAAGAAAUAAUCCCUGUAGAAUACGUCUAUCGAAAUUGUCACACAAACAUUAGAGAACAUGAACUGAACGUAGACUUAAUUCCUAUUAGACUAGGAGAAUUUGACGUAAUACUGGGAAUGGAUUGGUUAUAUAACCAUGCGGUAGUAAUUAACUGUCAGAAUAAGUGUGUGAACCUUCAGACUCCGAGUAAGUCUAAGGUAGUGUUUUAUGGUAGCUCAUCGCUUAAGUAAUCGUGUUGCGUUACGAUGAUGCAGGCCAAGAAAUUGUUAAGGAAAGGAUGUGUAGGUUAUUUAGCUUACAUCGUGGAUACUCGAAAAAAGGGAGUAGAGAUUAAAGAUAUACCCGUAGUGAGUGAAUUUCGGGAUGCUUAGGACUUGCGUGAUGGACUUCAAGGGAAAUUGAGACGACCGCUUACCCUUAUUCGAAUUUUCAUAUAAUAAUAGUUACCAUGCGAGUAUCGGCAUGCCACCGUAUGAAGCUCUUUAUGGAAGGAAGUGCAGAACGCCAUUAUAUUAGGACGAAGUCGGAGAACGACGAAUACUCGGACCAGACUUAGUACAGCAAACCGCGGAUGUGGUGAUAAUGAUAAGGGCCAAACUAGUAGCAGCUCAAGAUCGCCAGAAAAAGUACGCAUAUUUGCAUCGGCAAGACCGAGAUUUUGAAAUUGCCAGUUUUGUAUUCUUAAAAGUAUCUUCGUGGAAGGGGAAGAUCCAUUUCGGUAAGAAAGAAAAACUGAGUCCAAGAUUCAUAGGACCGUUCGAGAUACUAAAAUGAGUGGGCGAAGUAGCAUACAAAGUUGCACUACCACCUGAGUUGGAGCACAUCCAUAACGUGUUUCACAUAUCCGUGUUGCGUUUGUACAAGUCUGACUACAAACACGUGAUUUCUUAUGAACCCAUUCAAGUGGAGAAGAACUUAGCGUACGAAGAAAUUCCUGUCCAAAUUCUUGAUAGGAAAGAGCAAACCUUGAGGAACAAAGUCAUUUCUUCUGUGAAAGUACUUUAGCGUAACCACGAUGUCGAGGAGGCAACGUGGGAGUUAGAAGAUAGGAUGAUGAGGGAUUAUCCCCAUCUAUUUGUGUAACCUUGUAGCAAUUCUGGGACAAAAUUUUUAUAAGGGGGGGAGGAUGUAAUACCCGAGAAUUUCCACGUAUCAUUAAAUGAAUAUAUUAAAGGAAAUAAUAUUUAUGUGAAUAUAAGUGUUGAUGUCUUGUGAGUUGGUUAAUUCAAUUGAUUCGUAUUAGACCAAUGCGUAUUAAGAAGUGUGAUGUGACAAUGAGAAUUGUGAAAUGCCUUGUGUGGCAUAAUGUGAAACGAGAGAAUUCACUAAACAAGUUGAAACGGGAAUUAGGAAGAUUAAUCGGGAAAGAUUAUGUGAUUUCAUAUAAGUAAUCAAUACACGCGUAGACUUGUAGUAACACUUUUGUGGGAAUUAAUUCAUGUCGUGUAAGACGAGUAUAGCGAUAGGGGUUGACACUGGCUCAGGCUAAACCAGUCUUGGCACUGUAAGGGUACGGCGCAGCUGCGCCGUCCCAGCAGUACAAACUGGUGCUGCUGCGCCAGUGGUCAGUUGGAGAAAACUAAUUUUUCCACUUUGGAAAUUAAAUGGAACAAUUAUGUGAUAUGUGUGACAUUGAUAAACCAUGAAACAAAGUACGUUAUGUUCGACGAAGGAAUUAUUAAGUAAGCCAUUAAUUAAUAUUAAUUGAUUGUGGUGGAAUAUGGAUUACUUGGUAAUUAACUAAUAAUAUGUGAUUUCUAUUAUUUGCAAUAUGUCUUUAAAUAUAACAAGAAUUAUAUAGAUAAUUGAUGGUUAUGGAGAUCCAUAAAUACAUUAAUCAAGGAAGUAGAUGAUUUAUUUAUUUGACAUAAAUAAGUAAGUUAUUAAUAUAAUAAUAUUAUAUUAACGUCUAUGUGCAUGUGAUCAAAUAAUACAACUAUACUAUAUAGUGUAGUGUGACAUUUGUGUGACUAUAUAUUAAGUUUUAUGAAACUAUAUUUUAUUAAGUGGUAAUUAAUCAAGGGAAGGAAUAAAUUUAUUUAUUUAACAUAAAUAAAUAAGUUAUUAAUAUAAUAAGGUUAUAAUAUGGUUAUAUGAGUGGUAGGGAUAAUUAUGGAACUACUCGGACAAUAAUAUAAAACUGCAUUAUUUUAUUACAUGUAAUUGAUGUACAUGAACUAUAUGAUAUGAGUAUAUAAAUAACACUAAUUUUUCCUAAUAUGGUAACAUUUGGACAUUAAAACCAUUUUUGGUUAACCAAGUAACUAAAUGAAAUGGAGCUAAGUUAUUGCUGAGACUUCAUUUUGUCCCAUAAUUAGUGUCACCAAGUACAAUGAAUAGUAGCUCAAAGCUAAAUUAUGUAUUCUUCCAAAAGGCUGGAGCUAGGUAAUAAUGGCUGAGCUUGAGGGUGGUUGGCCAACCUUUGAGUAACCAUUAUUUCAUUGCAUUGCACCAUGAGUUCAAGUUUUGUGUAACUCCAAUGUCCAGUCCAAAACUCUUCUAUAAAUAGCAGUCAUGUUGAUCAAUUGGUGUUGCUUGGAGUUGUCUGAUAUUUGUUAAGUACGAGUUGAAAGCAUACAAGCAUUCUUAGAGCUUAAGAGUUCAUUGGAGCAAGUUCCUUUCACAUUUGCAGAGGUAUAACUCCUCUUCCUUGCUUCUAUUUUCAGUUUCUGUAAACAGAGUUCUUGAACUCUUAAAAUUCAAAUUCUUGAAUUCAUGGAAUUGGAUGUUAAUGAAGUUGGGUAUUGGUUAUAAAGUUGUUAUAUGGCCAUAUAAGUAUGUCUGAACUGAUACAUGAUUGUUUGGAAUCGAAUUGGUGAAUAAUUUUUGAGGUUGGGCUAGCUUUCUGCCGAAGCAGACUGCUUCUGCACCUGAAACUGGCACGGCGCAGCUGCGCCAUAAUUGUACUGAGGCGCAGCGCAGCUGCGCCGGUCUCUGGUUUCAGUUGAAGCUUCUGUUUUAUAACCAGCUAAAUGUUAGUCUAUUGUUAUGACAUGUACUAGCAUGCAAGUACGGUAAGGGGCAUAUAUAAGUAUAUUGACUUGAUGUGAGCAUGUGUUAAUAGAUUAGCAUUCAUGAAUAAUGAGAGUAUGUAGUUGAAAUGAAAUUAGAACUUUGAAAACAAACUACGUUAGAGAUCAUGUUCUGCAAAUUGUGAACCUAGUAAGCUAUACAUGACUGAUUUUACACAUAGAUGAGCAUGUUAUAAUAUACAUAGUUCCUUUGAGCAUGACCAAACUUAUUAAGCCUUGUGUUAGAAAUGUUUUCAAGAAAAAGCUUAGCCUAGUGUGCUAACGUGCAUGAUUACUUCAUAGUUUAUAUUCUAACUUUGCAAGCGUGUUAGUAUGACUUAGAAAUGCAUGAAUAAACCUUUAGCUUGUGUUUAUAUGAUUAGCAAGGAAGCAUGAAUAUGUUUAACGAAUUAGUACACUUUACAAAUGAAAAUAUGACCUUUGAAUAUGAAUAUUGUCAAAACUACCUUGAGGGUUAGAAACUGAUAAUUGUGAUCAUGUUUGAUGAUGCUCUUAGACUCACUCAUGUAGCAUAAACAUAUAUACACCAUGCUUGUGUAUCAUAUUUCAAAUAAAGCAUGAACGAAGCAUAUUUUCAACUAAAGCGGUGUUAGUUUCAUAUAUGCGUUAUGAAUACUCACAAACAUGCCUAAUAUGAGCUUUAUAACUAUCUUGUAUGUUUAGAGAGCAAGCAUGAUAGACUUUGUGGUUUUAUGACCUUGAUUAUUGAAAUGAUCGAACUUAGAACCAUGUUAUGAAAGAGGGAACCUAGAUUGAUCUAAGAAGCAUGUGAAAGCCUUUAACAUGACAAAAUAUGAUUGUGUGUUCAAGCCGAACAGAAACCAUAAGGUAGCAGUUAAGUCUUGGCUUGGCCAGAAGACGGCGCAACUGCGCCGGUCCUAAGCUUAGCCAUGGUGCAACUGCAUCGGUCCUAACUAUCUCUUUGAAUGCAAGUUAUUCUAUUUAUUCGUUCAAUUGAACAAGUAUGUUUAAACUCUUGUGAAAACUAUUAUUCAUGUUGAACUUAGUAUUGUUCUUGAAUAUUGUGAAAGAGUCGAUGCCAAUUGAUUCGACUAGACUAUAUGCAUGUUUAUAAAAUUGUCCAAACCAAUUGAUUGGUAUGGAAAUCUUGAAAACUGAGUUGGACAACCCUUAUGGUAAGGGGAGUGUAUGUUGUUGGAAACCCCAACACAUGAGUGGUUUAUUAUUGUGGUGUUAUGCAUAACGUGGAGUAUUAUAGACUGAUCAUCUAUAGUACUUGAUUCUUUUGGGUUAUCAGUUUAAUAUUGGUAACUCUAGUAGAUGUUCAAUAGUCCUUAGUGACUGCUCAGUAUAAAUUGUUUAUCCAGUUGGAUACAUUGAUAGUCGUUGAAUUCAUAUAUAUCUGUUGAUCUAUAUUGAAUUAUCAUUCUUAUUCCAAGAAUUAUUGAUAUUCGUUAUUCAUGAUAUUAUUCUGAAACUUGAACUAUCCUAGAGAUGAUAAUUUGAUAUUUCAAACCCGUGUUGUAAAACUCUUUACCCUUGUUGUAUAUUACUUGCUGGGCAAUUUGUGCUCAUCCUUGCUUAUUUAAAACCUUUCAGUUAAGGAGGAACAGGGAGGUGUCUCUGGAACAGACAAGGGCAAGG
rnacentral:lncRNA from 1 species